ACAGCAGCCGCCGCGGUAAUACGGAGGAUCCAAGCGUUAUCCGGAAUCAUUGGGUUUAAAGGGUCCGUAGGCGGUCUUGUAAGUCAGUGGUGAAAGCCCAUCGCUCAACGGUGGAACGGCCAUUGAUACUGCAGGACUUGAAUUAUUGGGAAGUAACUAGAAUAUGUAGUGUAGCGGUGAAAUGCUUAGAGAUUACAUGGAAUACCAAUUGCGAAGGCAGGUUACUACCAAUUGAUUGACGCUGAUGGACGAAAGCGUGGGUAGCGAACAGGAUUAGAUACCCCCGUAGUCCCUGUCUCUUAUAC
rnacentral:rRNA from 1 species